UUGCCCGAUGAUUAUAAAAAGACGCGAAAGAGGACUUAAGCUGGAUUCUUUCCUUUUUUCUCUUCUCUUUCUUUGACUCUUUAUCUACCUUUCCCCUUCUUGUUCUCUACUUUUUCUCUCUUUGGAUGUCCAGCGUCCUAUGAGCGAAGAUUAUGAGAUAUGAGGGCAA